rnacentral:ncRNA from 1 species
UUUGUGGAGGGUUCGAUUCUGGCUCAGGAUGAACGCUGGCGGCGUGCUUAACACAUGCAAGUCGAACGGGAUCCACCAGCUUGCUGGUGGUGAGAGUGGCGAACGGGUGAGUAAUGCGUGACCGACCUGCCCCAUGCUCCGGAAUAGCUCCUGGAAACGGGUGGUAAUGCCGGAUGUUCCAGUUGAUCGCAUGGUCUUCUGGGAAAGCUUUCGCGGCGUGGGAUGGGGUCGCGUCCUAUCAGCUUGACGGCGGGGUAACGGCCCACCGUGGCUUCGACGGGUAGCCGGCCUGAGAGGCGACCGGCCACAUUGGGACUGAGAUACGGCCCAGACUCCUACGGGAGGCAGCAGUGGGGAAUAUUGCACAAUGGGCGCAAGCCUGAUGCAGCGACGCCGCGUGAGGGAUGGAGGCCUUCGGGUUGUAAACCUCUUUUGUCAGGGAGCAAGCGAGAGUGAGUGUACCUGUCGAAUAAGCGCCGGCUAACUACGUGCCAGCAGCCGCGGUAAUACGUAGGGCGCAAGCGUUAUCCGGAAUUAUUGGGCGUAAAGGGCUCGUAGGCGGUUCGUCGCGUCCGGUGUGAAAGUCCAUCGCUUAACGGUGGAUCCGCGCCGGGUACGGGCGGGCUUGAGUGCGGUAGGGGAGACUGGAAUUCCCGGUGUAACGGUGGAAUGUGUAGAUAUCGGGAAGAACACCAAUGGCGAAGGCGAGGUCUCUGGGCCGUUACUGACGCUGAGGAGCGAAAGCGUGGG